rnacentral:rRNA from 1 species
AUUGAACGCUGGCGGCAGGCCUAACACAUGCAAGUCGAACGAGUGGCGGAGGGGUGAGAAAUGUCUGGGAAACUGCCAGAUGGAGGGGGAUAACUACGGGAAACGGUAGCAAAACCCGCAUACCAUCGGAUGUGCGCAGAUGGGAUUAGCUAGUAGGUGGGGUAAAGGCUAACCUAGGCGACGAUCCCUAGCGGGUCUGAGAGGAUGACCAGCCACACUGGAACUGAGACACGGUCCAGACUCCUACGGGAGGCAGCAGUGGGGAAUAUUGCACAAUGGGCGCAAGCCUGAUGCAGCAAUGCCGCGUGUGUGAAGAAGGCUUUCGGGUUGUAAAGCACUUUCAGCGGGGAGGCGUUACUCGAAGAAGAAGCACCGGCUAACUACGUGCCAGCAGCCGCGGUAAUAC